rnacentral:rRNA from 1 species
GGAAUCUUCGGCAAUGGGGGCAACCCUGACCGAGCAACGCCGCGUGAGUGAAGAAGGUUUUCGGAUCGUAAAGCUCUGUUGUAAGAGAAGAACGUGUGUGAGAGUGGAAAGUUCACACAGUGACGGUAACUUACCAGAAAGGGACGGCUAACUACGNGCCAG